rnacentral:rRNA from 1 species
UUGCAGUUAAAAAGCUCGUAGUUGGAUUUCGGGAUGGGCCAGUCGGUCCGCCUAACGGUGUGUUUACUGGCUGGUCUGUUCUUCUUCGCAAAGACUGCGUGUGCACUUUACUGUGUGUGCGUAGGAUUUACGACGUUUACUUUGAAAAAAUUAGAGUGUCCAAAGCAGGCAUACCGCUUGAAUACAUGAGCAUGGAAUAAUGGAAUAGGACUUUGGUCUUAUUUUGUUGGUUUCUGAGACCGAAGUAAUGAUUAAGAGGGACAGAUGGGGGCAUUCGUAUUUCGUUGUCAGAGGUGAAAUUCUUGGAUUUACGAAAGACGAACAAUUGCGAAAGCAUUUGCCAAGAAUGUUUUCACUAAUCAAGAACGAAAGUUAGAGGAUCGAAGACGAUCAGAUACCGUCCUAGUUCUAACCAUAAACGAUGUCGACUAGGGAUCAGCGAACGUCUAAUGCGACUUCGUUGGCACCUUACGGGAAACCAAAGUUUUUGGAUUCCGGGGGNAAGUAUGGUUGCAAAACUGAAACUUAAAGGAAUUGACGGAAGGGCACCACCAGGAGUGGAGCCUGCGGGCUUAAU